GACGUAGGAUGCAAGCAUUGUCCGGAUUUAUUGGGCGUAAAGAGUUCGUAGGCGGUUUGUUAAGUCUAAUGUUAAAGAUCGGGGCUCAACCUCGGGACUGCAUUAGAUACUGGCAGACUGGAGUGUGGUAGAGGUAAGUGGAAUUUCUGGUGUAGCGGUGAAAUGCGUAGAUAUCAGGAAGAACACCGGUGGCGAAGGCGGCGACCUGGUCCGAUACUGACGCUGAGGCGCGAAAGCGUGGGGAGCAAACAGG
rnacentral:rRNA from 1 species